rnacentral:sRNA from 1 species
GCUGGGUGCAGUGGUGCACACCUGUAAUCCAAGGGUCUCAGGAGGCUGAGGCAGGAGGAUCACAAGUUCAAAAUCAGCCUCAGCAACUUAACAAGGCCCUAAGCAAGACCCUGUCUCUA